rnacentral:tRNA from 1 species
GGGAAUGUAGCUCAGUGGCAGAGUGCUUGCUUAGCAUGCUUGAGGACCUGGGUUUGAUCCCCAGCACACACA